CUAAUUUAUAACAGAGCUGAAAAAGCAUGUGAAUCUCUUCACUAAACUAAAUAAGGCACAGACGUCCAUCAAACAAGUGUUUCGCAACACCACACCACACCGUGGAGUUUUUGGCAGGGCUGGUCGCUAAAGGGGUCGAGCCACCAGCCGAUUCUGGCCCACAGGCCCCAGAAACCAAACGCCUCAAGCGUUCUUCCCGUCGGCAAGAACCAACUUCCAACAAGGGUCUUUCCGUUCCAGAGGUACCCGCACCCGCGGACACUUCAAUGCAGGUGAGCAACCCCAACACGACGUUUUUAUUCUCUCAUAUGACUGCAGGCAGACUGUCUCUUUUCACAGGAAUGGGGAAAGAUAUCCUCGGACAACUGGAUCCUACAUACGGUAGUGGGCUACAAG